rnacentral:pre_miRNA from 1 species
ACCUGGGUAGCUUAUGCUGGUCUUAACUCAGCCAGGACUGGUCAUGUGUGGGCAGGGGAUGGUCAGGGUUAAUGGGGUGGCAUCCUGUCUGGGCCCUG